rnacentral:tRNA from 1 species
CGAGGUAGAGCUUGUAGUAAGCAUUUUAUUUACACUAAAAGAAGAAUUGUGAGAAUCAGUUUGCCUUGA